CAAAACACUUUGAAAAAGAAAAAGUAUUUCUCAUUCAAUUGUCAGCGAGCUUCGUCAGGUGAAAGGAAGCCAAUUGAAUCUGAAAGAAGAUCAUCUUUGAGUGCCGGGAUGAACCAAGUAAUUUCCGGUGGGUGCGCCCAUUAUUGCGUCAUUGUAUCGCUAUUUCGGUAGCCGUACAGGGAGAGGCAUGUUGCGCGAGCAAGAUGCAAACAAAAGGUGGUAACACGAAUUUUCGUCCUUUAA
rnacentral:ncRNA from 1 species